rnacentral:tRNA from 1 species
GUUUCUGUGGCUUAGUUGGUUAAAGCGCCGGACAGAGUCGUGGGUUCGAAUCCCACCAAAACA